AUGGUUCUCGGUGAUCUCAAUGAAAUAAUGUAUCCCUUUGAGAAAGAGGGAGGCAACGUCAGACCAGAGAGGUAUAUGCAAGCUUUUAGAGAUGCGGUGCAGGAUUGUAACCUUACAGAUUUUGGGUAUGUUGGAGAUCGCUAUACUUGGCAGAGAGGAAACAUUCGUGAACGGCUUGAUCGUGCACUUACUAAUGAGAUGUGGAACGACAAAUUUAACAAUGUUGUGUUGGAGAAUUUGGAGUAUAGCAGAUCGGAUCAUAGACCUCUCUUG
rnacentral:rRNA from 1 species